rnacentral:rRNA from 1 species
AGUGAACGCUGGCGGCAGGCCUAACACAUGCAAGUCGAACGGUAGCACAGUAAGAGCUUGCUCUUACGGGUGGCGAGUGGCGGACGGGUGAGGAAUACAUCGGAAUCUACUUUUUCGUGGGGGAUAACGUAGGGAAACUUACGCUAAUACCGCAUACGACCUAUGGGUGAAAGCAGGGGAUUUUCGGACCUUGCGCGAUUGAAUGAGCCGAUGUCGGAUUAGCUAGUUGGCGGGGUAAAGGCACACCAAGGCGACGAUCUGUAGCUGGUCUGAGAGGAUGAUCAGCCACACUGGAACUGAGACACGGUCCAGACUACUACGGGAGGCAGCAGUGGGGAAUAUUGGACAAUGGGCGCAAGCCUGAUCCAGCCAUGCCGCGUGGGUGAAGAAGGCCUUCGGGUUGUAAAGCCCUUUUGUUGGGAAAGAAAAGCAGCAGGUUAAUACCCCGCUGUUCUGACGGUACCCAAAGAAUAAGCACCGGCUAACUUCGUG